GAUGAACGCUAGCUGGAGGCUUAAUACAUGCAAGUCGAGCGGGAUUGGGUAGCAAUACCCAUGAGAGCGGCGCACGGGUGAGUAACGCGUACACGACCUACCUCUGACAGGGGGAUAGCCCUGGGAAACUGGGAUUAAUACCGCAUAUUAUUCUGAAUAAUAAAGGUUUGGAAUGAAAGCUGAGGCGGUCAGAGAUGGGUGUGCGUCUGAUUAGCUAGUUGGUGGGGUAACUGCCUACCAAGGCGACGAUCGAUAGCUGGUCUGAGAGGAUGAUCAGCCACACUGGGACUGAGACACGGCCCAGACUCCUACGGGAGGCAGCAGUGGGGAAUAUUGGACAAUGGGCGCAAGCCUGAUCCAGCAAUGCCGCGUGUGUGAAGAAGGUCUUCGGAUUGUAAAGCACUUUCGACGGGGACGAUGAUGACGGUACCCGUAGAAGAAGCCCCGGCUAACUUCGUGCCAGCAGCCGCGGU
rnacentral:rRNA from 1 species